GAUGUGCUAAGCUAAGAGAGACAUACCCAAGAGACUUGGAAUUGCAGCAAAAGGUAGCUCUAUGAAGUAUUACCUUUGGGCGGGGGCGUGAAUACUUAUACAUACACAAGAUUUCUGUGGGGGGGUUUUGUCUUAAUUAUUGUGUGCACCUUCAGAGUGGUAGUCAUGAUGUGUAAAUGAAGUGUUACUGAAUAAAGUGCCCAAUCAGGGUAUUCACUAAACUACAGGGGUUUCAGUACUGCGACGUAAAAUAGGCUUUUCUGGAGGUGUGGCAAAGACGCCUCCUUACAAAAAAUUACAGGUGACUGAACAAAAUACUUCUCUCUUUUUUUUGGCGCAGGCAUUCCUAGGAUCAGCGAUUUAAGAUGAAGGACAAAACAAUCAUAUCCUUCCAGCCAUCCAUCUUCUAUACCGCUUAUCCUUUUUCAGGAUCACAGAGAACCUGGAGCCUAUCCUAGGGAGCAUGGGGCACAAGGCGGGGUACACCCUGGACAGGGUGCCAAUCCAUCGCAGUGCACAAUCACACACACAUUCACACACCCAUUCAUACACUACGGACACUUUAGACACGCCAAUCAGCCUACCAUGCAUGUCUUUGGACUGGGGGAGAUAACCGGAGUACCCGGAGGAAACCCCCGCAGCACGGGGAGAACAUGCAAACUCCGCACACACAGAGCAGCGGGAAUCGAACCCCCGACCCUGGCGGUGUGAGGCGAACGAGGCCCCCAAAACAGUCAUAUAGGUAACUAUUUUUUCACAGUAAACUGCUUCUUCAAACUGUCAACUUUGAGUUUACGAGUUUGUUUUUUUUUUAAAUAAAUAAAUAAAAUAACGGGGCAACAGCCGUGGAAACGAUACUGAGGUUAAAAAGUUUUGACUGCGGAUUUUUAGUCUUGCAUGUUAGGACACAUGAUAGAAUUGCUGUAAAGUCAGUAAGACUUUGAGCUUAUUUAAGUGGAACACGCAUUUAAUAAAAGUAGUAUUUUUCAAACAUGAAACCCCUGUGAUCACGGACGGGUAUCUGAAGUUAUAGCAGUAUGACUGUAAAAGUUGGAAGCACACAAUUUUCUAGGAUGUAUUUGUAUGCUGUAGCACUACCAUUUCCCUUCACUGGAACUAAAAGGCCUAAACAUGUUGCAGCAUGACGAUGCCCCUGUGCACAAACAAGCUCCAUGAAGACAUGGUUUGCCAAUGCUGGAGUGGACGAACCCAAGUGGCCUGCAUAGAACCCUGUCCUCAACCUCACUGAACACCUUUUGGAUGAACUGGAACACCGACUGCUCGCCAGGCCUCCUCGUCCAACGUCCGUACCCGACCUCACUAAUGCUCUUCUGACUGAAUAAGCAAAUCUUUACAGCCACGUGCCAAAAUCUAGUGAGAAGCUUUCCCUGAAGAGUGGAGG
ensembl:lncRNA